GAUGAACGCUGGCGGCGUGCUUAACACAUGCAAGUCGAACGAUGAAGCCCAGCUUGCCGGGUGGAUUAGUGGCGAACGGGUGAGUAACACGUGAGUAACCUGCCCUUAACUCUGGGAUAAGCCUGGGAAACUGGGUCUAAUACCGGAUAGGAGCGUCCACCGCAUGGUGGGUGUUGGAAAGAUUUAUCGGUUUUGGAUGGACUCGCGGCCUAUCAGCUUGUUGGUGAGGUAAUGGCUCUCCAAGGCGACGACGGGUAGCCGGCCUGAGAGGGUGACCGGCCACACUGGGACUGAGACACGGCCCAGACUCCUACGGGAGGCAGCAGUGGGGAAUAUUGCACAAUGGGCGCAAGCCUGAUGCAGCGACGCCGCGUGAGGGAUGACGGCCUUCGGGUUGUAAACCUCUUUCAGUAGGGAAGAAGCGAAAGUGACGGUACCUGCAGAAGAAGCACCGGCUAACUACGUG
rnacentral:rRNA from 1 species